UUUACGCUAUUUUUAUCCGUUCUAAUAUUAUGAAUAACUACGAUUUUUUUUCUUUUUACUAACACAGGCGGCUGUACAUAAUAUACUCGUAGUUUGUAUCCUCGUUUCGAAAUAAUUUACACGAUUAAAUAUAUUAUCUAUAAGUACUAGUACAACGAGGUGAUUCUGCAUUAUAAGAAUAACCGUCGUAGAGUCAUAGGCGCAACUAGACUACCGACUUUGGGGGUGCUAAAAUUACGAGGAACACGUCGAAAACCCAUUGAGCCUACGCUCCCAUAAUCUCUUACGCAAUUCUUACAAUAAACUACGCGUUUCGUUUAAAAUUUUGUACAUAGAAAUGUACCGUAACUAUUUUAACACUAGCUGUCCCGGCAAUGCUAUUGCUAGAUUUUAUUAUUAUUAUUAUUAUUAUUUUUUUUGUUUUUGUUUUUUAGCUGAACUACCCGGCAUCCCGACACCAAAGAUACUUUUUGA